CUUGACUUAAAUUGGGCGGCUAAAUCACAAAAAAACUGGUAUUAUGUCAUAAAGCUUCUCCUUCCCCCCUCCUCCCAUUCGUUUCUCUCUCUGCUAACCCCUCUCUUCAACCAGAUCGGCAACUAUCAAUUUCUGGUAGCCGACGACGCGGGCUGGUAAAGUAUUCAUGCAAGGAGUGUCGAUUUAAUGGGCAGGAAGAUGAGUAGUACUCGAACGCGUGGGAAGUUUAAUUUGAAUGAAGUUGCUGAUAAUGAAGUGCGUAGCAGUUCAAAUAGUGAGGUAGAUGAUAGUGAUGACAUGGAUUAUAUCGUUGAAAAUAAUGGUGAAGAGGAUGAUGAACACAAUUCAAAUGUGGUGACCAAUACGUCUAUGAAACGGAAGAGGGGGCGUCCUAAGGGAUCGAAGAACAAACAGCAGAUGAUUGGUGAAAAGAAAAUUAAUAAAGAGAAAGUCGUGCUGGAGACGCGAGUAUUCAAGGUU